rnacentral:rRNA from 1 species
GACGAACGGUGGCGGCGUGCUUAACACAUGCAAGUCGAACGGAGUGGCGAACGGGUGAGUAACACGUGGGUGACCUGUCUUGCACUUCCGGAUAAGCUUGGGAAACUGGGUCUAAUACCGUAUAGUGCAAGAUGAGCUCUCGGCCUAUGAGCUUGUUGGUGGGGUAAUGGCCUACCAAGGCGUCGUCGGGUAGCCGGCCUGGGAGGGUGUACGGCGAAAAUACGCCUUAGAGACGGACCAGAAUCCAAUGGGAGGCAGCGGUGGGGAAUAUUGCACAAUGGGCGGAAGCCUGAUGCAGCGACGCCGCGUGGGGAAUGAAGGCCUUCGGGUUGUAAACUCCUAUCGACAGGGACGCGGUACCUGUAUAGGAAGCACCGGCUAACUACGUGCCAGCAGCCGCGGUAAUUC